rnacentral:rRNA from 1 species
UACGUAGGGUGCAAGCGUUAAUCGGAAUUACUGGGCGUAAAGCGUGCGCAGGCGGUGAUGUAAGACAGGUGUGAAAUCCCCGGGCUUAACCUGGGAACUGCAUUUGUGACUGCAUCGCUGGAGUGCGGCAGAGGGGGAUGGAAUUCCGCGUGUAGCAGUGAAAUGCGUAGAUAUCGAGAGGAACACCUGCGGCGAAGGCGGGUAGCUGGGCCGACACUGACGCUGAGGCGCGAAAGCCAGGGGAGCGAACGGG